GCCAGCGAAGCAGAACAGGAUCUGCGCCGAUCUUGUACAUCGGAGUUAGCGAGUUCGAAUCUCGUCGCUGGCC
rnacentral:tRNA from 1 species